GAUGAACGCUAGCGGGAGGCCUAACACAUGCAAGUCGAGCGGGAUUUCCCUUCGGGGAUUGAGAGCGGCGCACGGGUGAGUAACGCGUAUGCAACCUGCCCUUUACAGGGGAAUAGCCCGGAGAAAUCCGGAUUAAUGCCCCAUAGUACCAGAAAGCCGCAUGGUUUUUUGGUUAAAGCUCCGGCGGUAAAGGAUGGGCAUGCGUGACAUUAGGUAGUUGGGGGGGUAACGGCCCACCAAGCCUACGAUGUCUAGGGGUUCUGAGAGGAUGAUCCCCCACACUGGUACUGAGACACGGACCAGACUCCUACGGGAGGCAGCAGUGAGGAAUAUUGGUCAAUGGGCGCAAGCCUGAACCAGCCAUCCCGCGUGAAGGAUGACGGCCCUAUGGGUUGUAAACUUCUUUUGUACGAGAAGCACGUGCGCUAUGUAUAGCGUAUUGACGGUACCGUACGAAUAAGCAUCGGCUAACUCCGUGCCAGCAGCCGCGGUAAUACGGAGGAUGCGAGCGUUAUCCGGAUUCAUUGGGUUUAAAGGGUGCGUAGGCGGCCCGGUAAGUCAGCGGUGAAAGUUUGCGGCUCAACCGUAAAAUUGCCGUUGAUACUGUCGGGCUUGAGUUCAGAUGAAGUGGGCGGAAUGAGUAGUGUAGCGGUGAAAUGCUUAGAUAUUACUCAGAACACCGAUUGCGAAGGCAGCCCACUAAACUGCGACUGACGCUGAUGCACGAAAGCGUGGGGAUCGAACAGGAUUAGAUACCCUGGUAGUCCACGCCGUAAACGAUGUUCACUCGCUGUUUGCGAUAUAUUGCAAGCGGCCAAGCGAAAGCAUUAAGUGAACCACCUGGGGAGUACGAUCGCAAGGUUGAAACUCAAAGGAAUUGACGGGGGCCCGCACAAGCGGAGGAACAUGUGGUUUAAUUCGAUGAUACGCGAGGAACCUUACCCGGGCUUAAAUGUAGGAUGCAUGUAGUGGAAACACUCUUCCCUUCGGGGCUGCCUACAAGGUGCUGCAUGGUUGUCGUCAGCUCGUGCCGUGAGGUGUCGGGUUAAGUCCCAUAACGAGCGCAACCCCUAUCGUUAGUUGCCAUCGGGUGAAGCCGGGAACUCUAGCGAGACUGCCACCGUAAGGUGAGAGGAAGGUGGGGAUGACGUCAAAUCAGCACGGCCCUUAUGUCCGGGGCUACACACGUGUUACAAUGGACGGUACAGAGGGCCGCUACCCCGCGAGGGGAUGCCAAUCUCGAAAGCCGUUCUCAGUUCGGAUCGCAGUCUGAAACCCGACUGCGUGAAGUUGGAUUCGCUAGUAAUCGCGCGUCAGCCAUGGCGCGGUGAAUACGUUCCCGGGCCUUGUACACACCGCCCGUCAAACCAUGGAAGUUGGGGGGACCUGAAGUCUGUCACCGUAAGGAGCGGCCUAGGGUAAAACCAAUGACUGGGGUUA
rnacentral:rRNA from 1 species